CGCAAAAACUUAAUCCCUAUUUUUACUUUCGCGUCUCGACCCAUCCCCGAAUUUCAUAAUGGCGCCCAAUUUUUUGCCCAAAUCUCUUACUCUUCACACAGUUCUUUCUCCCCAUUCUCUCUCUUAAAACACACGCUCACUCUCUGCCCUUGUGGCUCUCUACCCUAGCUCCUCUCUCUUUGGCGUCGCCGCCGACUUCACACAUUCUUCUCCUUCAGCGCUACCACUGACGUCGUAUCUUUGAGCAAGCGUUAGUGCUGCCGUCGUCGCUUCGAGUAUUCUACAAUUGGGGACAUACAUUGAGAAACAUCAUGAGUUUUGACCUUUGCAGUCUUCUGGAAGAUCUGUUAUGGGGAUAACAAACUAUUUAUUAAUGACUUGGGUUGGCAAGGUCUUGAUUUAUUUACCUUCUAUUGACGUGAGAUGCUCACUGUUAGUUGGACAAAAUUUAUUUGUUUGGCGGGUGAAGCUCUCUCCACAUAUCCAAGGUCUUAUGACUUAAUUCAUACCAAUGGGGUUUUCAGUUUGUACAAGGACAACUUAGCUUUAUCACUUGAUGAAGAUGUAUCUAAGUCAUCAUAGUCAGGAUCUUAGUCAUCGACUGUUGCUGAGAUCACCAAGUAGGUUCGUAUGGAGUUAAGACAAGAGUUGAAGGAUGAGAUUAGAGAGGAAUUGAGGGAGGAGAUGAGAGCAGAGCUUUCAACACAGAUACGACAAAUGAAAGCUGAAAUGUUGGCUAUUGUGUCCCAAGAAAGGGAGUACAAAUCACAACAAACAGGUUUGGUAUAAAUUAGGUUUUAUAAAUAUCUAAUUUCAGCACAAUUCUAUCAUUGAAUAUAAAUACGAUUAACAAAGAAUACCAUGAAUAUCAUAUGUACCAGAUGCAUUGAGUGGCCACAGUGAACCUAUGGAUAAUGAGGCCGAUGAGAACCCACAUACACCACCACCAAAUGUUGCAGUAAAACUUUCAAACACUUUGAAAACUUGUCGUUUAGAAACUUUUUCUUUAAACUGGUUGACUCACUAAAAUGGUCAAAUAGUAUUGGAUGUCAACGAAACUUCACACAUACGACGAACUAGGCACAAAUAACUUGUAAGAGAAGACAAAACUCGAAACCGAUUCCCGGUUUUAAAUCUAGAGCCUAAUUUCCGUUUAUGAAAAUUGUUCUUUAGAAACAUUUUUUCCAAACCGGUUAACUCAUAAAAAUGGUCAAACGGCAUCGAAUGUUAACGAAACUUGACACGCACGACAAACUAGGCACAAAUGACUUGUAGGAGAAGGCGGGGCUUGAAACCAAUUCCUGGUUUUGAAUCUAGAGCGUAAUUCUGUUUAUGAAAACUUGUUCUUUAGAAACUCUUUUUUCGAACCAGUUGACUCACCAAAAUGGUCAAAUGGUGUCGGAUGUCAAUGAAACUUGACACACACGAUGUACUAGGCACAAAUGACUUGUAGGAGAAGACGGGACUCGAAACCAAUUCUCAGUUUUGAAUCUAGAGCCUAAUUUUCGUUUAUGAAAACUUAUUCUCUACAAACUCUUUUUUCGAACUGGCUGACUCACUAAAAUACUCAAAUGGCAUCGGAUGUCAAUGAAACUUGACACACUUGACUAAUUAGGCACAAAUGACUUGUAGGAGAAGACGGGACUCGAAAUCAAUUCCCGGUUUUGAAUCUAGAGCCUAAUUUCCGUUUAUGAAAACUUGUUCUUUACAAACUUUUUUUCUGAACCGGUUGACUCACUAAAAUGCUUAAACGAUGUUGGAUGUCAAUGAAACUUGACACACUUGACUAACUAGGCACAAGUGACUAGUAAGAGAAGAUGGAACUCAAAACCGAUUCUCGAUUUUAAAUCUAGAGCCUAAUUUCCGUUUAUGAAAAACUUGUUCUUUAGAAACUCUUUUUUCGAACCGGUUGACUCUCUAAAAUGCUCAUGUUGGAUGUCAACGAAACUUGACACAUACGAUGAACUAGGCACAAAUGACUUGUAGGAGAGGACGGAACUCGAAAGUGAUUUCUAGUUUUAAAUCUAGAGCCUAAUUUUCGUUUAUUUGUUCUUUAGUAACUCUUUUUCCGAACCGGUUGACUCACUAAAAUGGUCAAACGGCAUCGGAUGUCAAUGAAACCUGACACACUUGACUAAUUAGGCACAAAUGACUUGUAACAGAAGACGGGACUUAUGAAAUUGAGUUUAGAGCGAAACUGAGUUUGUUGAAAACUCACUUUCACUUUUAUGAUUGUCACUCCCUCAGGUUCUUCCAGAAAUUGUAGCUACUUGAACAAAGAAAAAAACUUUAGUUUAAAUAAGUUUGCAAAGACAGACAUAUUUAGUUAUGUUCCAUUGGCAAGGUUUUUGGAGAUGCUGUCUCUGAUUCUUUAUGUACAUCUCCACAUAUUUUCAAAAGCAACAUGAUAUAAUCAAUUUAUUACAAUGUGAUGGUAACAUAGUACUGAACAUUAAGGCUUGGACAAUGCUUAAAGUUACUGUUGUCAAUUGCAUUAUUUGGGUUUGACAUGAUUUUGUGCAUCCGUUCCUAAGAUUAAAUCCCUGGCCAAGGAAGUCUGCAUGGAUUUCUGAUUUUUUUCAAUAUUUUCCAUAUAGAGGAAAAUAUUCAUGGAAUGCUGUAAAAAAAUUUAAAAUAAUUCCUGAAUAUAUGGCAGAGGAAAAUGUAUCUAAUUUAUAUGAAGUGAACUAUUCAUAUUUAACUCUUCAUACGGGAAAAACCUGAAUGAAUGUCCUGGUAAAGUAAGGUUUAGGGAAUUGUGUAUGACAUGAAUUGAUUUGUGUAUGUCAUUGUCUGUGGCCUUCUCUGAGCCAGGUGAGGAUGUUGAGAUGGUUCUAUAAUUGUUUUGUGUUGAUAUACUUACCAUGCUUAGAGCAUUUUCUAGGUGGUUAUGCAGCUAGGGGAGAAGUGUUCUCAACCACCAGUUAAAGAUGUGCUCUAUGUGAAAACGAGAAGCAUGUUAACCAACGUUGGCCUCCAGAAUUAUGAGAAGAAUUUCAAGAAAGGCUUGUUAACCGACACCACUUUGCCUUUGCUCACCGAUAGGCAAGUAGUUAAAAUUCACCCAUCCCUGACACUUUCAUUUUAACUGUAUUUAUAUUUUGAUGGUAUUU